CUGCUCGGAUGGGCGCAGCCUGAUCCAGCAAUGCCGCGUGAGUGAAGAAGGCCUUCGGGUUGUAAAGCUCUUUUGUCAGGGAAGAAACGGCUCCGGCUAAUAUCCGGGGCUAAUGACGGUACCUGAAGAAUAAGCACCGGCUAACUACGUGCCAGCAGCCGCGGUAAUACGUAGGGUGCAAGCGUUAAUCGGAAUUACUGGGCGUAAAGCGUGCGCAGGCGGUUUUGUAAGUCUGACGUGAAAGCCCCGGGCUCAACCUGGGAAUUGCGUUGGAGACUGCAAGGCUUGAAUCUGGCAGAGGGGGGUAGAAUUCCACGUGUAGCAGUGAAAUGCGUAGAGAUGUGGAGGAACACCGAUGGCGAAGGCAGCCCCCUGGGUCAAGAUUGACGCUCAUGCACGAAAGCGUGGGGAGCAAACAGGAUUAGAUACCCUGGUAGUCCACGCCCUAAACGAUGUCUACUAGUUGUCGGGUUUUAAUUAACUUGGUAACGCAGCUAACGCGUGAAGUAGACCGCCUGGGGAGUACGGUCGCAAGAUUAAAACUCAAUGAAUUUUGACGGG
rnacentral:rRNA from 1 species